rnacentral:rRNA from 1 species
UGGGGAAUAUUGCACAAUGGGGGAAACCCUGAUGCAGCCAUGCCGCGUGUGUGAAGAAGGCCUUCGGGUUGUAAAGCACUUUCAGUAGGGAGGAAAGGGUGAGUCUUAAUACGGCUCAUCUGUGACGUUACCUACAGAAGAAGGACCGGCUAACUCCGUGCCAGCAGCCGCGGUAAUACGGAGGGUCCGAGCGUUAAUCGGAAUUACUGGGCGUAAAGCGUGCGCAGGCGGUUUGUUAAGCGAGAUGUGAAAGCCCUGGGCUCAACCUAGGAAUAGCAUUUCGAACUGGCGAACUAGAGUCUUGUAGAGGGGGGUAGAAUUCCAGGUGUAGCGGUGAAAUGCGUAGAGAUCUGGAGGAAUACCGGUGGCGAAGGCGGCCCCCUGGACAAAGACUGACGCU